GUCGUUGUCUCAGGGUAUGCUCUGCAGUGCCAACCCAGGAGUUUGAUAAAAUCUCCCAUUCUUUUAAUUUUGUUAUCUGUAAGCAACUUUUUUUGACUCUCUAUUCACUUCAUAUUUUUCAAUGCUGAUCUAAAAGCACUUCAAUUUGAUGUCUCUGUUUAUAAUGAAGUUAUUGCAAUUGAUUGAUGAAUGUCAAUUGAGGAUUAAGGGUUGCAAUUUUUUUUCUCAAUAAUGAGAAGGCAAGUAUUAAGUUUGCUUUCGUGACUAGUUGUGUAUUUGUUAUAAAGUGAGGAAGAUUAGAGAAUGGUCUCUGAGGACCGUUACUUGUGGGAAUACUGUGAGUAUCGAUCAAUGUCUGCC
rnacentral:lncRNA from 1 species